rfam:TPA: Bos taurus chromosome 20, whole genome shotgun sequence.
UAGCUCAGCUGGUAAAGAAUCCGCCUGCAAAGCGGGAGACCAGGGUUCGAUCCCUG